GGCUGUCGUCAGCUCGUGUCGUGAGAUGUUGGGUUAAGUCCCGCAACGAGCGCAACCCACGUCUUUAGUUGCCAGCAUUAAGUUGGGCACUCUAGAGAGACUGCCGGUGAUAAACCGGAGGAAGGUGUGGAUGACGUCAAGUCAUCAUGCCCCUUACAUCCUGAGCUACACACGUACUACAAUGCUACGGACAAAGGGCAGCAAACUCGCGAGAGCUAGCAAAUCCCAUAAACCGUGGCUCAGUUCAGAUCGUAGGCUGCAACUCGCCUACGUGAAGGAGGAAUCGCUAGUAAUCGCAGGUCAGCAUACUGCGGUGAAUACGUUCCCGGGCCUUGUACACACCGCCCGUCACACCAUGGAAGUUGGCCACGCCCGAAGUCGUUACUCCAACCCGCAAGGGAGGAGGAUGCCGAAGGUGGGGCUGAUGACUGGGGUGAAGUCGUAACAAGGUAGCCGUACCGGAAGGUGCGGCUGGAUCACCUCCUAA
rnacentral:rRNA from 1 species